ACACUCAGUUGAAGAGGAAGACCAUCCCCGAUGGAGGAGGACUGGCCUUGAGUCAAGGGUGUACAAGUAGCUGCACUCCCCUGCUAGAACAAGCUCUCAAAAGAGCACUACAGAGGUGGAUAGAGC
rnacentral:sRNA from 1 species